rnacentral:rRNA from 1 species
UACGGAGGUGGCGAGCGUUAUUCGGUAUGACUUGGUGUAAAGGGUCCGUAGGCGGCCUAGUAAGUGAAAGGUGAAAUCCUUCGGCUCAACCGAAGAAUUGCCUUUCAAACUGUUAGGCUUGAGGAUGGAAGAGGAGAGCGGAACUGUCGGUGUAAAGGUGAAAUUUGUGGAUAUCGACAGGAACGCCUGUGGAGAAGUCGGCUCUCUGGUCCAUUCCUGACGCUCAGGGACGAAAGCUAGGGUAGCAAACAGGAUUAGAUACCCCUGUA